GACUUGUAGCUUUAACAAAAAUUAGGUUCCCUAGUUGCAGCUGCCAGGGAAAGCUAGUCUAAUAUCAAAGCAAACCAUCCUUCUUCUCAAGCACAGAGUUUUUAAGAUAGGAGUGUGUGUGUAUUGACAUUUUCCUAGCAGUGGCUGAAGUCAAGGACCAGGAGAUUUAGGGCCCACUUGGAGUUCUUAUGGUGAAACAGUAGUAGCUUCCUAGAGACCUUUAAAGCUUAUCUGUAAUUUGUAUAGUUCAGAAGAUACUGUAUACAUCAUUAUUUCUCCCUGCUUUCAAAACAGGAAGGGGGUGUGGAGAGUAACACACUAAAAAAAGGAUAAGUAAUUAAUUUCUGGGUAAGAAUUUAGGCGUGAGCCACCGCGCCCGGCCGCAUCCUAGGUAAUUCUUAUGCAUGAUACAGGUUGAGACCAGUGCCAUGUACAGAAGUGGGAAAAAUGGCUUAUGAAACUCAGUUGUAUUUAGCACACUGUGUUAGACAUAAAAUUUGAAAACCCAACCUGGACAACACAGUGAGACCCAGUCUCUACUAAAAUAAAAUAAAUAAGUGAACAUUGAAAACCAAUGGAUAGUAGAAUGUAUUCAGUUCAGUGAGACAUGAAACAAUAUUUUUGCUUAAUUGAAUCAAACAUAUGU
rnacentral:lncRNA from 10 species